UCCUACGGGGGGCAGCAGUGAGGAAUAUUGGUCAAUGGUCGGGAGACUGAACCAGCCAAGCCGCGUGAGGGAUGAAGGUACAGAGUAUCGUAAACCUCUUUUGUCAGGGAACAAAGGCGGGGACGUGUCCCCGGAUGAGUGUACCUGAAGAAAAAGCAUCGGCUAACUCCGUGCCAGCAGCCGCGGUAAUACGGAGGAUGCGAGCGUUAUCCGGAUUUAUUGGGUUUAAAGGGUGCGCAGGCGGUCUGUUACGUCAGCGGUCAAAGCCCGGGGCUCCACCCCGGCCCGCCGUUGUAACUGGCAGG
rnacentral:rRNA from 1 species